GGGUGACCGCGCAGGUGUGGUCCCGGGAUGGCGUAGAGCCGAGGGCCGAGGAGCACAACGCAGGCGGGGUGACCGCGCAGGUGUGGUCUCGGGAUGGCGUAGAGCUGAGGGCCGAGGAGCACAACACAGGCGGGGUGACCGCGCAGGUGUGUCUCGGGUGGCGUGAAGCCAAGGGCCAAGGAGCACAACGCAGGCGGGGUGAACGCGCAGGUGUGGUCUCGGGAUGGCGUAGAGCCGAGGGCCGAGGAGCACAACGCAGGCGGGGUGACCGCGCAAGUGUGUCUCGGGUGGCGUGAAGCCAAGGGCCGAGGAGCACAACGCAGGCGGGGUGACCGCGCAGGUGUGGUCUCGAGAUGGCGUAGAGCCGAGGGUCGAGGAGCACAACGCAGGCGGGG
rnacentral:lncRNA from 1 species